GAACGGGUGAGUAACACGUGGGCAAUCUGCCCUGCACUUCGGGAUAAGCCUGGGAAACUGGGUCUAAUACCGAAUAGGACCACUUGGCGCAUGCCUUGUGGUGGAAAGCUUUUGCGGUGUGGGAUGGGCCCGCGGCCUAUCAGCUUGUUGGUGGGGUGAUGGCCUACCAAGGCGACGACGGGUAGCCGGCCUGAGAGGGUGUCCGGCCACACUGGGACUGAGAUACGGCCCAGACUCCUACGGGAGGCAGCAGUGGGGAAUAUUGCACAAUGGGCGCAAGCCUGAUGCAGCGACGCCGCGUGGGGGAUGACGGCCUUCGGGUUGUAAACCUCUUUCACCAUCGACGAAGGUCCGGGUUUCUCGGAUUGACGGUAGGUGGAGAAGAAGCACCGGCCAACUACGUGCCAGCAGCCGCGGUAAUACGUAGGGUGCGAGCGUUGUCCGGAAUUACUGGGCGUAAAGAGCUCG
rnacentral:rRNA from 1 species